AAUUGUAAAAUAGUCAAAAUUGGGAGUUUUUAUGAAGAAAUUAGACCAGAAUUUUAAAAUAAAUCUAAAACCCCCCCAUUCAACAGCUUUGUUUCACGUUAAGUUUUGCUCCACUUACUUGUGUCGUUUUUGCUCUCCUCUUACUCUUAUAAUUUCUUUUGCUCUUCAAUUCCUAAUUACCUUUGAAUUCUAACACCCUUGAACCUUAAAUCUCUAUAAAAACAAAAAAAAAAUCACCCAAAACUACACCAUCUACAUCAUCUUCUCCAAAAGUAGGUUUUUCUAGAUUUGCAUCAAAGCUCAUUUUUUUCCAUCAAAGGUAACCAUUUGACUUUCU
rnacentral:lncRNA from 1 species